AUUGAACGCUGGCGGCAGGCCUAACACAUGCAAGUAGGACGAGCGCCUGACGGGCGAGUAAUGUCUGGGGAUCUGCCUGCUGGAGGGGGCUAACUACUGGACACGGUAGCUAAUACCGCAUCCCAUCAGAUGAACCCAUAUGGGAUUAGCUUGUAGGUGAGGUAACGGCUCACCUAGGCGACGCUCCCUAGCUGGUCUGAGAGGAUGAUCAGCCACACUGGGACUGAGACACGGCCCAGACUCCUACGGGAGGCAGCAGUGGGGAAUAUUGCACAAUGGGCGCAAGCCGGAUGCAGCCAUGCCGCGUGUAUGAAGAAGGCCUUCGGGUUGUAAAGUACUUUCAGUCGGGAGGCGUUACCGACAGAAGAAGCACCGGCUAACUCCGUGCCAGCAGCCGCGGUAAUAC
rnacentral:rRNA from 1 species